CUGGAAUAUACCGGUUCUCGUUAGAUCACCGCAGAUAUCCAAGCAUCAUUGGGCGCAAGUCAGUACUUGGGUGGGUGACCACCUGCGAACACUGCGUGCCGUU
rnacentral:rRNA from 1 species